rnacentral:lncRNA from 1 species
CUUCAACACCAUCAAGCCGGCUCUCCUGGGUGAGAAACUGACAGCGAUGCAGGUAGAGCUCCCCCUUGUGUCAUGGAUUGUGGAUUAUCUAACUGGUAGACCACAGUAUGUGCGGAUGCAGCGGUGUUUGUCUGAUACAGUGGUCAGCAGCACCGGAGCUCCACAAGGGACAGUCCUCUCUCCCUUCCUCUUCACGCUCUACACCUCUGACUUCAGCUACCAGACAGAGUCAUGUCACCUUCAGAAGUUUUCUGAUGACUCUGCCAUAGUGGGAUGUAUCAGCAAAGGUGGAGAGUCUGAGUACAGGACUGUGGUUGACAACUUUGUUACAUGGUGCGAGCGGAACCAUCUGCUGCUCAAUGUGGCAAAGACAAGGGAGCUGGUUGUGGACCUGAGGAGGACCAAGACACUCGCGGCUCCAGUUUCCAUCGGUGGGCAGAGUGUGGACAUUGUGGAGGAUUACAAAUACCUGGGAGUGGUGUUGGACAAUAAACUGGACUGGACUAAAAAUACUGAAGCCCUCUACAAGAAGGGCCAGAGCCGCCUCUAUUUUCUGAGGAGGCUCCGGUCCUUUAACAUCUGUCGGACUAUGCUGAGGAUUUUUUAUGAGUCUGUGGUUGCCAGUGCCAUUUUGUUUGCUGUUGUGUGCUGGGGCAGCAGACUGAAAGCAGCGGACACAAACAGACUCAACAAACUGAUCAGAAGGGCCGGGGAUGUGGUGGGGGUGGAGCUGGACUCCCUGACAGCAGUGUCAGACAGAAGGAUGCUGUCUAAGCUGCAGGGGAUCCUGGAGAACAGCUUCCAUCCUCUACACCACGUGCUGCUGAAGUGCAGGAGUACGUUCAGUGCCAGACUGAUCCCUCCCAAAUGCAGCACUGAGCGCCACAGGAGGUCCUUCCUUCCUGUGGCCAUCAAACUGUACAACACCUCCCUCUGAGAUCAGAACACACUGUCUUGUAAUCUUAUCCAUAUUGGAUUUAUUCAGACAAGAUUUUACUGCACAUGGUACAAGUUGUAUUAUAUAUGACUUUAGUCUCCACUUGCCAGGAUUGACUUGAAUGUACAUUAAUGUUUAGAAUUUAUUAGGUUUUUAUCUUAUAUUUUUAUUUUUAUUUUUUACGCUCACUACUUAUUACCUUAUUAGUAUUUCUGUCUUUUUGAGUAUACAUGGAGCACCUGGAACGAAAACAAUUUCCCCCCGGGGAUCAAUAAAGUAUUUCUGAUUCUGAUUCUGAUUCGCU